CCGUGCAGUCUGCACUAUUGGGUGGUAGUGUGUGUUUGUGUGGGGGGAGGGUAAGGAAGGGCAGGAAGUAUCAUGAAGAGCAGAGGCUAGAAGCAGAUUAGAAACAACUUCUCUUUCAGAAAGACUUCAGCACGGCACAUCAACUGUCUCAGGAUUCUCCAGCCUUAUGGGUCCCAGAGAAGAUGACGAGACCUCUUCCUCUCUUGGCCACUCCUUGGGGGUACUCCUGGCUGGCUGGCUGGCUGCCUGCACCUCCACAUUGGCACCUGGGGACGUGUCCAAUACUCAACAGGUGCAUAUAAAAGAAGCCUCUUCUGGAUCUUGCAACCAGUUCUGGAAAAAAUAAAGAACAUCACAAGUACAGUACGCUUAUAUUCCAAUUUGACAUGCAGAACCUGGAAACAACACCAGCACCAGACAAGUCCCAAUUGGAGUCCAGCUGCUUAAAAAUUACCACCCAGCGUGGUAUUAUCAUUCUGCCCUCAGGGAGCUUAUCUUGCAAAAAGAGUUAUUGAUGGCUAAUUUCAACUUUCCUUGAGACUGAGCUCAUAGUUAAGUGUCUACCCAAAGUUCCCUUAAUUUCAAAAUAAAUGAUCUUUCAGCCAUAAAUAAGAAAUUUUUUUCUUUUUUUGUAAUGUCAGAUCUAAGUUCUGACAUAAAUCAUUUCUGGGCUCCCUGGACAAAUAGCUUUAAUAUAAAUGAUCUUAUGGGAUUUGCAAGAAGUUAGAAUCCCAGUUACAUGUUUUCUUAAUGCCCCAGUGGGCCAUCCAUUCAAAUCCAAUGAAUUAACUGAAUUUCAUAUUACUUCAUAAUGAUCAAGGCAACUCCUUCACAGGGGUCACUUUAUCUCAGACAUUGCACCAUGGAUCUGUGUCAUUUGAAAAGUAAUUCUACAUCAUUUGUAAGGACAAAGGUUUUCAACUUGUCACAAGGUUACCUGAAUUUGCCAGAUCAUGUGCCAUUCUCAAGACAUCAUCAGAUCUUUCUUAUGACCUAAUCUGGAAAUACUUUAGGAAAAUGUUGUAGUAGUGAUAAUAUAUAUAGGUGCCUUCAGGGCUUAUCUGUAAAGAACUAAAACUAUCUAGGAAUGCAGUUUUUGUCUCAUUUGCUAAGGUGCAGAAUAAAAUGUGACAAAUCCAUGAUAAUGGAGUGGCUAAGAUGCUAUAGACUGAAACAGGAAGAUUGUUAUCUUAUUCCCCAGUGGCCUCAGGGUAUGUAUUGGUUUCCAAUAAAGAGAGCAAAGGCAUCUGAGGAGCUAUACAAGACAGCUAUCAAGUCUUCCACAUGCCUUCACAGGACAGUAUAAACUUGACCUUGGUCCUCAGCUGAUGUCCCAUCAGGAUGGCCCUUUUUACCUGGGAAGCAUCAACCUUGUCAAGUCGAUGCUUAUAUUUCUGGUCCAUUCAUGAUCUUUGCUCCCUCUUUGCUAUCUUCAUGAUAAAGAUGUCUCAGAAACGAGGACUGGCAGAUAUACCUUUCACCAAGAAAAAGGUGAAAUUGUUACUUUUCAUUCUUAAAAAGAGCCAAGUCAGCUAGUUCAGUAUGCCCACUGCUCUCAGCAGUAAAGCUGUUCUUUUGUUUUUCCACUGUGUGUGGAGAUGCCAUUUACCUUUGAUUUUUUUUUAGGUGUUUGCCUUGACAACUCAAUCAGAAAACAAGACACAACAUUUAUGUCUCCCUGAACUACACAGUUCUGGAGCUCACUGUGUUUCCAACACCUCAUGAGAGACGGUCCCUGUCCUGAUGAAUUUACUCUCUAAAUAGACAAAUUAGGCAAAGCAUGAAAGGAUACCGUUACUGUCCUCAUUGUAUAGAUGUGGAGCUGAGGUAGAGAGAGAUUAAAGGCUUAAAAUUCAGGAUUUUUUCCAUUCUGGGAUUGGAUGCUCGUUGCUGCCAUUAUAUUGUUGUAUAAACCUACCACAAUCUGCUUCAGAGAGGAAGGAAUUGGGAGGAAGGAUUAAUAAGCACAUCUGUUCUUGGAAACAAAAAUUAAUAUAGUGUAAGAUUUCCUACUGAAUUAAUUAGUUGAUUAAAGAUACGCAGCAACAGGUAGGAGAGAGUGUGUCACAAGGAGACCUUGCUAGGAUCAGUUGACAAUCAGAAUCUGCUAAAGGCCAAAUAGAACAAGGAUGUCUUACUUGGAAAGCCAAUUAUUCUGCACAUGUGAUCAUAUACCCAGGAGAGCUAUUUGUUGCCUCACUCUAAAAUGAAUCUAGCUGUUUGGAGAAACAUUAAAAAAACCACUCCUAAAAUAAAAGAGCACAUUUUAUUUUACAGUUUCCAGUGAGGAUUAGUGAUCCUUUUAAUAAAGAAAAGGCCUUGAAAACUUUUAUUGUAAAGAGAGAAACAAAAUAAUGCUAGAAGAACAAACAUAAUGGUUGAUUUCAUAGUGCUAUAUAUUUCUCUUGGUCUAGAAGAAUGAGAAUAGAAAUUGCAGAACCUGACAAUAUAACAGACCUAAAAUGACAAAAGGAUGUAUCAAAUCCAAGAAUUAUGGAGGUGAAAAGUAGCCUUGUGGUGAGGGCAUCUUACUGGAACUCAGGCUGAGUUCAGCUCCUAGGUAUCAUGGGUGCCCUGUGGAACUUCGGGAAAGUUAGGCUUUGUCUAUAUAAUGGAUAUUUUAUACCUCGGUAAUAGGUUUACUCAAGUGAGCCAAAAGUGAAAUCCUGGCUCCACUGAAAUCCAUGAGAGUUUUGACACUGACUUCAGCAGAGCCUGGAUUUUACCCUAGGGCUGUGCACUGCUCAGCUUUCUUGGUGUAGUUACACCAGUGCAAAAAUCUGUAACACAAAUCAGCCUUUAUUUUCUCUCUGCCUCAGCUCCACUUCUGAACAAUGGGGUUAAUAAUGCUUUCUUCUACAAUUAGUCUACUUUGGCUACUUAGAUUGCAGGCUCAUCAGGAUAGGAGUCUCUCGUUUAGUGUAUGCACAAUGCUAGUGUAAAGGAGCCUGAUUUGGAUUGGAUAAGGGGUCUGAUAAUAAAACUGAGAGUAAAAAAUAAGAUACUAGGAAAAAUGAUAUUCUCUAUAAAAGGAUUAAUUUAAGAGCACAAUUGAAUAUUAUCCAUGUAACAUUCACUUCUUCACAAAUGUAUUAUACACCCCACUGCCUUACGCUAACCCUAUGCAAAAUAUGUGGGACAAGAGUGCCAAAUGUCAUUUACACAAUAUGGCUCUGUGCUAGAGUUCUGGAAAGAAAUGUGCUUGAAUUCCAAAGCAGGUCUCAUGGGAACAACAUUCAAAAAGCUAUAAAACCACUUGGAAAUGUAUCAUUUUUCUACUAUUAUUUACCAAAAAAGAAGCAGCUUAUUUUAAAAAUCAGUGGGUCCUUACCCAUCACAUGCUGAAUAAUUUAAUCCAAGAUUAUCUUCCACAGGAACAAUUUACCUACCAUUUCUUCCAAGGAAGAGAAACAUCUGAGGCAAGUAGAUUUAUGUGCUGAAAUUUUUCAAGCAGCAGAAAAUAGGCUGUUCUGUUACUUUCUCCAUAGCAGCUGAUUUUGAUGUGAAGUAUUAAGUGUGCUUUUAAAUGUGCAAAAUAUUUCUGUGUGCAAAUGUCUUUCAUGGUAAAUAUGGAUACAAGCUUCUUUUGCCACUGGUUGACUAUUAACUCGGUCUGUCUGUCUGUCUUUCUCUCUCUCCCUCCCAAGUUGACUUUCUGUCGAUGGUGAUCAGAGGACCCGUGUCGCUUAGUGAAACAGGAACAAAACAUGUUAGCAGUUUGUGGCAAAAGCUUGUUAGUUUACAGGUGCGUGCGCAGCAGCAGAAAACCAUGGGGCUGUAGGUACUGCCCAGUUUAAGCAGAGGUAGAGAGCUGCACUGUCCCCCAAGCGGCACUGUUCUCCAUGAACUUACAGGCCCUCAAGGCCUACUUUGGUCUCUGUCUGGGUAGGUGGAGUUCAUAGAUUUCAUAGACAUUAGGGCUGUAAGAGACCCCAGAGGAUCAUCAAGUCCAGCUCCCUGCCCCAGGGGCAGGAAGUCAGCAAGGGUCGUAGGAUCCCAGCAAGAUAAACAUCCAAAUUUCUCUUGAAGGCGUUCAAAGUAGGUGGUUGAACCACCUCCGGCAGCAGUCUAUUCCAAACCUUGGGGGCUCGGACAGUAAAGAAGUUCUUCCUUAUGUCCAGCCUGAAAUGGUCAUGAAGGAGUUUGUGACCGUUUGACCUUGUCAUCCCUCGGGGUGCUCCGGUGAACAGACGUUCCCCCAAAUCCUGGUGAGCACCCCUGAUAAACUUACAGCCAGCCACCAGAUCACCCCUGAGUUGCUCUGGGCUAUAAGGUGAGGAGAGAGCUGUCCGUCCUCCCUCUGUCUGGAGCACAGGGGCUACAAUUUUGCAUUGUAGCUUUUGUAGAGGUUUGGCUCCUUACACCUUUCCCCAUCUCCAUUUCCAUUGCAUGCCUAUACAAGUGGUGCGCAAAAUAGAGCAGAUAGAAAUGAGAAGCCUAGUGCUGCAGUUUUCACUCAGAUAGUUUCCCCUGGGUUCAGGGGAUUUUUUGCCUGUGCAAGACUGGGUCCCAGCUGGGGAAAAGACCUACUAGGAGGAAGGACUACUACUUGAUCUAUGCUGUGGUGUUGCCUACACUAUAUUUAAACACAUGUAUUUCAUGGAAAUUACAUUAUUUUUAAUUAAAAAAAUUAAACUUCCAGACCGCAUGUCUCCAUAUACCACAUGAAUAAUUGGAGCUAUUGCUUUAGCAGCUUGCACUGAAGUGUCUGCUGUUCAGAAUGGGGGCAGCAACUAUCGAAUCUCAUCUGCAGGAAUGAUGAUGAGAGAAUAAUUGUAGUGAUAGCAGACAAAGGUACUUAUUAUUGCAGAGAUGACCAGACAGGCUACGGCUGAACUGAGCUCUACUUAUUCCUUCCCCACCUGGGCUCCCAAUCUGACUUGUGUUUUAUUUUUGUUGGUUUGAAUCUGUAAUAAAGACCUGGAUUAAUUUUCA